rnacentral:rRNA from 1 species
UACGUAGGUGGCAAGCGUUGUCCGGAUUUACUGGGCGUAAAGGGCGUGCAGGCGGUUUGUUAAGUUCAGGGUGAAAGCUCCCGGCUCAACUGGGAGAGGUCCUUGGAUACUGGCAGACUUGAGGGAGGUAGAGGAGAGUGGAAUUCCCGGUGUAGUGGUGAUAUGCGUAGAUAUCGGGAGGAACACCAGUGGCGAAGGCGGCUCACUGGCUCGGUACUGACGCUGAGGUGCGAAAGCGUGGGGAGCAAACAGG